rnacentral:lncRNA from 1 species
AUGUUCAGAUGCUUCAAUCUUCUUCUGCUGCUGGUUUGUCUGGUUUAUCACAGCGGAAACACCUCUAAACCUGUGUCAGGAGAAAAGAGAGGAAACGUCAUCUUGCCAUGUCAAUAUGAGGACAGUAAUAUUGGUCACAUUGAUUUAUUCAGUGAGGUAGAAAAAAUAGAUGUGUGUGAGACUGAAGAAUGUAGUGGACGAGUGUUUAAAGAAGGAAACUGUGACGUCGUCAUCAAGAAUCUGAUCUUCAGUGACGCUGGGAAAUACACUUUGAGAAUCUAUUACAAUAAUGAUCAAACAGAGCUGAAGUACCAACUUCAUAUUCAUGGUGAAGACUAA